UUUGGCUAUCAGACUACUGAAACAAUGGACCCCAAGAAGUUGGAAUUUCCCCAGGAAUCUCAUGCUGGGAAAAGGAAAAGGCUGGAGCCUGGUGCCAGGCAGGGGUGGACUGGAGCUGAGACACUGGUGAUGGUUGGAACAGAACCUUGACCAGCCUGCGCAGUUAUGCGCACCCCUUCCUCACCUCAGGACCCUGAAGAAGGAUUCCUCUUCCCAAUGUGGCCAUAUGGAAUAAACAUCCUCUUUCUGUUUUUGGUUGUCAGGAUUUUGCGGCAAGCCUGCUGCCAGCUGAGCCAGGUUAUCUACCCCUACUUCCAGACCUUUGCCUGGGUGUCUUUAAGGCAAUCAGCUGAUGAAGGACCUGAUAUUCCCAACACUGUUAUGCAAUGAACAGAUGAGGGGUGCCUGAGACACUGAACCAAACAUUUGGUUCAUUUCAUCGACGACGUAAAGCGGCACACGUAACUAGGGCAAAAAAGAAGCUGUGCGCGUGUGCAGAAUUUAAACGAAGAGCAGAAACUCUGAAGAAACGGAAGCUGGAGACUUUGCGGAAAUGUUCGUGAGUAUAGAGGCACCUCCAGGAUGUGAGAGUAUUUGUCUCCUAUAAGAUGAAUCUUCGAAGGGCUGGGAGGAUGGCCCAUUUCUCUUGGUGCAGCACUCCCUGUGCAGGCAUGAUGGCAUGAGCUUGUUUCCCAGCAUCCACAUGAAAAGGCUGGGCUCAACAGCAUAUUGCUGUAACCCUAGAGCUGGGGAGGUAGAAACAGGAGGAUCCUUGGGGCUUACUGGCCAACUAGUGUAGUGGAACUAGGGAUC
rnacentral:lncRNA from 1 species